rnacentral:rRNA from 1 species
AGGCGCUGUCCCUAGUACGAGAGGACCGGGAUGGACGUACCUCUGGUGCACCAGUUGUUACGCCAGUAGCACGGCUGGGCAGCUAUGUACGGAACGGAUAAACGCUGAAAGCAUCUAAGCGUGAAGCCGACCUUAAGAUAAGAUAUCCCAUCGUUUCAAACGAGUAAGACCCCUCAAAGACUAUGAGGUUGAUAGGUGCAAGGUGUAAGCACGGUGACGUGUUCAGCCAGCGCAUACUAAUCGGUCGAGGGCUUUUCCUU